rnacentral:rRNA from 1 species
AAUGAACGCUGGCGGCGCGCCUAAUACAUGCAAGUCGAGCGAGAAGACGUAGCAAUACGUUUGUAAAGCGGCGAACGGGUGAGGAAUACAUGGGUAACCUACCCUCGAGUGGGGAAUAACUAGCCGAAAGGUUAGCUAAUACCGCGUACGCUUCUUGGACUUCGGUUCAGGGAGGAAAGCGAUACCGUGGGUAUCGCGCUCUUGGAUGGGCUCAUGUCCUAUCAGCUUGUUGGUGAGGUAACGGCUCACCAAGGCUUCGACGGGUAGCUGGUCUGAGAGGACGAUCAGCCACACUGGCACUGCGACACGGGCCAGACUCCUACGGGAGGCAGCAGUAAGGAAUAUUGCGCAAUGGGCGAAA